GGGUCCAGGAGGUUUGCUUGAGGAGAAGGCCCUUGAGUUGGCCUCCUUCCUCGGGAUUUCUUCUGAGUGCCCUCUUUCCUUGGGCCCGUUGUCCUCAGCACCUAUUUUGCCCCUUGGUGGGAGUGAAGAGACUCAGCCAGUCCAUUCUCGAGUUUCUGGGCCUCCUGUCAGCCUUAAGCAUCCUCCAGAUUUGUUUCCACAAACACUUUUCAGCAUCUACCCAGUGCCAGGCAUCAAGGGUGAAAACGGAGUUGAGGAGCACUUACUCCAUUUUUCAGGGGAAGGAACUUGGCACUGACAGUGGGCGGGACUUGCCCGAGGUCUCAACAGAUCCAGCACUCUGGUCCUUUCUGUGCUCAGUCUGGUCCAAGCCCUUCACCCAGUAGCAGCUCUCCCCACCCCCACCCAGAGAAGCCACGACGGCAUUUUAGGGUGACUGCAGAGACGCAGCAUCUUACUUGCAUUCUAUGGAAGAGAUAGAUGGUUUGGCGAUAGGGUCACACAGGAGUGGAACUUGUCCAUGAGAAGUACCUGUAGGAAUAAAAAUCCAUUGCCUCUCAUUUCCCUAGGGCCCAUUUUAAAGACACACAGAAGCUUCAUUUAUUUACUUUUCGAGUUCGCCUUUGCGACAUCAUGAGCAUGUGGAGGGAGGCAGGAGGUCCUACCUGAAUUUAUGGCUGUGAGGCCUCGAUGUGCAACAGUCAGGUCUGGAAUCCACGGCGUCUGGCCUGUUGCAAGAGUCUAAGAAUGGGUUUUUAAUGCUAAUUUCAGGCCUGCCUUCUGUCCUUGCCCGGAAUUUAUUGGAGGAAACUGAGAGAGUUUAGGUGACUUGCUCAAGGUCACAUCGCACGGCCAAGACAGGGUAGAGGCAGGAUUUGAACCCAGGUCUGUUUGUAGGACUGGAACUUAACUCCAGGUGCUUCGAAAUCAGCUGCUGGCUUCUGCCCUGGGUGGUUCUGAGUCCAGUCCUGAGGCUCGAUACACAGUGAACAUGACCUUGAUGCGAUGGACACCCGCCACUUUCCUGCCAACUGCUCUGAGACCAGUGCCCGCAGGAGUCACCAAGAAGCGAAUAUCUGUUCCAGCUUCAGCUCAUCAGUCACAGCCAGUCUCGGAGCUGGUGGCCCGCAACAUGCUUCUGGGAGAAUGGAUGGCUCGCACGCAAGGCUCCUGUUCGGAUGUACAAUGGUUCCAAGCAGAGUCCCCCAGACCGACCGUUUAGGGCGAGUUACUUCCACAACCGUUCUCUGGAAUCCCAGCAAGUGGGCAAGGGGACAAGAUGUGAUCCUGUCUUCAGGAGGCCACGACUCAGAGGGAAGCGAACACGAUAAACAGUGUGAUAAGUCUGUGAUAGGAAGAGGGACAGGGCCUUGGAGGCCAAGGAUGGGGAGGGGCCUUCCAGCAGAGAACAGCUCAGAUCCUAGCACAGGAUGUGGCACACAGUAGGCACUCAAUAAAUGCUUGUGGACUAAGUCAAUCAAUGAAUGUUAGCAUACAGAAGGCACCAUUAUGGUUGGAAGGGCCCUAGAGACCAGGCUGCCCUCACUUCUGAUUUCCACGUGGGUAAACUGAGGUCCGGAGAGGAGGAGGGAUGUGCUGAGGGUGUCAGCCUGGGGGGGGGGGGGCGAACCCAGAUGCCCCACCUCCUGCUCCGGCUCCUGGCUGCUCCAGCUCACUGUCUCCGAGACUUGGAGUGUGUGUUGCCCCGUGGGGACUGAGACUGGGGACUGCAGGAAGUGGCAGAGAAGGCGGCCGGAUGCUGCUGACCGAAGGGGUCACUGGCGAGUCCUCUUGGAGGCCAAGGAGCUAGUGACGCUUGGACGUGGGAGCCCCGUGCUGCAUCCCGAGAGGGCCGUUCUGUGGUUGGUGGGUACUGGGGCGCUCGGCUGGGGUCCCGGAACCCAGACAGCCCCCCAACUCCUGCCCCACAGAAUCUGCACCCUGCCAUCGUCCCCAGUGGAUGUGAAUGGCCCGCCAACGUCAGCGUUUGCCCAGCACGGUCCUGAGCAUCAGGCUCGGUGCCUAGAAAGACAUCGUGGCCCUGGCUUCAGGGUCCUUAAGUGUGACGAGGGAGAUUGAUGGAAGCUUGGCUCUUCGGAGCUUUUGCUUUGUGUCAGACGCUGGGCCUGGAGCUUUCCGUGGUGAUAUCCUUGAGUCCCCACAGCCUUUGAGGCGGGCUUGGUUAUAAUCCCCAUUUUAUGGAGGGAGCAACUGAGGCACGGAGAGCUUGGGUGACUUCCCCGGGGUCACACACCAGAAAGAAGAAGUGACUCUAAUCCCAGGGCUCUGGGGAAGUGGGGAGCACCACGAGCGGAGCGGCAGGAGAGGAAUGGCGACCGCUGCUACCACUUUGGGAUUUAUUGGCCUUUGGAACAAAUUCUGUACUCACCGAUGGAAGGUGCAGAGAGGGUAGAUGUGAUCUCUUCACCUAGGGUCUCCGCCCAAGCACCUGGCACAGGCUGGAUGUCCGUUCGUUCGUUCGUUCGUUCGUUCAUUCAUUCAUUCGCUCAGUAAGCACGGACUAAAUGCUGGCCAGCGUGCAGGCGCUGUGCUGAGCCCUGGGGAGAACACCGGGCACCUCACAUACAGCCUGGAGCAGAGCUGAGGAUGCUCUUAAUCUCCCAGGCCAAUUCCAAUUGAUUGGUAGUGUCUGCCUGGAGCUCUGGGUUGGAAGGGAUUUGGCAUGCGCCCCAAUUGAUUAGUGAUGUCUGCCAAGGGCUCAGCUGGGAGCCUUUAUGGCAAACCUGCUGGGAUGUGCAUGGAGUGUGUGUUCGGCUUUGGACAUCUGGGGUGGUCUAGCUGCCAGAGCGGGGCUUGAGGGGUCAGGAGACACGGGUGCUGGCGCCAGACCGGCCUCUUAUCCCUAGGUAACGUGCGUCACCUCUCUUGGGGCUCUGUUUCCUCCCUUGCCACCUUCCUCCGGGAGGUACUGUGAGCAGCAAGUGACGCCAGCGUGCUUUGAAGACUGGAGGGGAUUCGUAUUGAAAUGGAAUGGGAGACGUCCCCCUUCCCCCUUUCCUCUUUUCUCAAAAUCCUGCCAGAAACUAAGCAAGCUGGGCAGGCCAGAGUUAAUCCUGG